rnacentral:lncRNA from 1 species
AGCAACAGAAUAUCAGAAUAUCAUAGCAGUCAAGAUAAUUUUUUUGACCCCCUGACUGACAAAAGUUCACACGGAUACCAUAGGGCCCAACAGCGUAAACCAGUCCAGCAACUAUAAAGAAUAAGCAACAUCAUCAGUUUCCAAAUAGGAUAGAUAUGUAGCAGCAGGAUAGUCCACCAAUAUGCACAACAGCAGUCUGCACAAACACACUCUAUCCCAGCUGCAACACGUAACCCCCAUAUUUUCCAAAAACCCAAUGGAGAUAGCCUAUGGCUACAGCUAACCAGUAGCCCAAUGGUGAUAGCACCCGCCACCACAUAGCAACAUCCAAGCCUACAAAUAGCAGUAGUUUCAACCACAACAUAUGCAGGCAUAGCACAUCCGCAGAAAAGCCUCCUACAUCUGUAACUCUACAGGCAUAGCACAACAGCCACAACAACUAGCCGAGAAGCAUCAAACACACAUGCAGCCUAACUAGCCCGUGCUAACAUCAGACCUGCAGAAAGUCAAGGACUACAAGAGACUGCAAAAGAACCACAAAAAAACAUCCACUGUAGCAAGGGAAGCAACAGUUCUUCAGCAACCACGUUUAACACAACAACCUGCCCCAGCAAAACAAGACCAAGCAGAGGAAAAGAAGUAAGAGCAUGCCAGUAGAAAAAACCAGCAAUCCCAACCAUGAAUACCAAAACAAUCUCAGGUUUAGUACAGUUAUAGCACAAAAGAUCUAUAGCAUAGUCUAGACUUAAUUUUUUAAAAUUUAGCAUUAGAGUAAAGCCCACACUUUAUCAAAUGAAUAAUAUCACGAAUGAGAAUCUGAGCAGGGAUGGAAGUAUUGGAGAAAAUCCUAGCAUUUCUUUUGGUCCAGAUUCUAUAGACCACAGCAGCAAAACCAAAAUGGAGAAGGCUGGAGUGAAAAUUAUUACAGGAGCAGCUAGAGAUAAAGCCAGUAAUAGAAGCC